AUUGAACGCUGGCGGCAGGCUUAACACAUGCAAGUCGAGCGAGCGGCGGACGGGUGAGUAAUGUCUGGGAAACUGCCUGAUGUAGGGGGAUAACUACUGGAAACGGUAGCUAAUACCGCAUACCAUCAGAUGUGGCCAGAUGGGUGUAGCUAGUGGGUGGGGUAAUGGCUCACCUAGGCGACGAUCCCUAGCCGGUCUGAGAGGAUGAACGGCCACACUGGAACUGAGACACGGUCCAGACUCCUACGGGAGGCAGCAGUGGGGAAUAUUGCACAAUGGGCGCAAGCCUGAUGCAGCCAUGCCGCGUGUGUGAAGAAGGCCUUCGGGUUGUAAAGCACUGUCAGCGGGGAGGCGUUACUCGCAGAAGAAGCACCGGCUAACUCCGUGCCAGCAGCCGCGGUAAUAC
rnacentral:rRNA from 1 species